rnacentral:rRNA from 1 species
UACGUAGGGGGCUAGCGUUGUCCGGAAUCAUUGGGCGUAAAGCGCGCGUAGGCGGCCCGGUAAGUCCGCUCUGAAAGUCCAGGGCUCAACCCUGGAAAGCGGGUGGAUACUGCCGGGCUAGAAUCCGGAAGAGGCGAGUGGAAUUCCUGGUGUAGCGGUGGAAUGCGCAGAUAUCAGGAAGAACACCCGUGGCUAAGGCGGUUCUCUAGUACGGUACUGACGCUGAGACGCGAAAGCGUGGGGAGCGAACAGG